rnacentral:rRNA from 1 species
ACGGCCGUACCAUGCUGAAUAUACCGGUUCUCGUUAGAUCACCGAAGUUAAGCAUCAUUGGGCGCGGUCGGUACUUGGGUGGGUGACCACCUGGGAACACCA